GAUGAAGAACGCAGCGAAAUGCGAUAAUUAAUGUGAAUUGCAGAAUUCCGUGAAUCAUCGAGCCUUUGAACGCACAUUGCGCCUCAUGGCAUUCCGUGAGGCAUGCCCAUCUCAGCGUUAGAAAAUAUUCUCAAAUUUUAGUUUUGUGCUAAAAUUUGGAUCAUGUCAAAGAAGCUAUUACUAUUAUUGUGAUCGCUCUUUGGAAAUUGAUAGGUCUUUGAGUUGCUACUCAUAGAACGUGAUGAAUCUUUCUUCGUUCUAUUGUAAUUCACUCUGGUAGUCCUAAAACUUGUAUGCCUGUGGCAUAUCUUGUAAUUUGACCUGAGAUUGGGUAGGGAUACCCGCUGAACUUAAGCAUAUCAAUAAGCGGAUGA
rnacentral:misc_RNA from 1 species